CUUCAUUUGAAAUCUUAUGUUUCUGCAACUAUAACUACGGAGGAAGGAGAAGAACAAGAAAACAUAGGAUGUUAAGGUACACGUGAGAUUUGAGCGCGUGAUGUUUGGGAAUCUGGAAUAGUAGCAGAUUUAACCACCGAAGCAGUCAGACAAGUCACAAAUCACUCUUCUUGUAAGUAAAUAACAAAUACUAUAUGAUAGAUGUUUGUUGUACUGCAAUAUGACCGGGAUACGUAUAAUACUUUUUUCUUAACAAAGGGAUACGUAUAAUACUACUACUAGUCGACAAAAAAAAAACUGUUACUACUUGUCUACAUCCAAGUUACAUUUAUUUUUCCCUCGAGCUUAAUUCCCUUACACAAAUGUAGGGUCUAUUUUGAGAUUUGGUUUGUAUAGAAACUACAAUAUCUUAAUUUCUGGUUUAGAGCAUCUCUCAAAACAAUUUCAAUUUAAAUUGGCAAAACUUUAAAUUUUGAAGUGUGAGGGUAUUUUUCUACAAAAUAAAAAGUUCAAAAUUAUUUUAUAAACUUUAUAUUUUACACAAUAAUCUUUUUAUUUAUAAUAAAAAUCACAAAAUUUUAUCUAAUGAUAGAAUAUAUAAUAAGCAUAUUACAAAUUAUUCAAUUAAUGAAAUAUUGCAUUGUAUAAAAAAUUAUAAAAAAAAUUAGACUAAAAUUUAAAUUUUAAGAACGAAAAUGAUAACUAUAAAAGUGAUAAAAUUAUAUGAAAUUGUAUCAAAUUGUAUAAAAAUAAAAUUUAUAAUGACUAAAAAUGAUAAGUAUUAAAUUUAACAAGAUUAUUAUAAAGACUAAAAUUUCAAAAAUUGUAUAAGAUACAAAAUUAAAAUGAUAACUAAAAAAGUUAACAAAAUUAUUUGAAAAAUAAAUUAUUAAAAAAGUUAUAUGAAACUUCAAAUGUGAGGUUUUGUACAAUAUAACUUACAAAUAUGAAAUUUCACUAUAUAAAAUUUAAAAUUUAAAGUUUUGAAAUUAUUUUUGGAGCAUGUAAAACUUAGGUUUGAAAUUAAUUUUGAAAAUAAUCUUAGAGCAAAUUAAUAUUUUAUUUCAUUUACAAGAGAAUUACAAUCUACAUAAUCUGCUUAGUAGAGAAAGAAAAAUCCAAAUAUCCCAAUUUAGAUUUGUGUUUACGUUAUAUGGAUUUGUUAUUCAAGAUAUCUAAAUCCGGAUUUAUUUUUGACGAAUCUAAAUUUUACUUUUAGAUUUAAGUACUCUUUCGAAUAUCGCAACUUUUAAAAUAGAUCCUGAACGAAUUUCGGGACUGAUCCAGAUCUCAUACAAUAAUUCCAUCCCUAUUGUUUUGUACAUAAUUUUAUUUUUUAUACUAAAGGGUUGGAUUUGGAUGUAUACAAGAUAUACUCCAUUUUAUAUUUGUGUUAUAAUAGAAAAGAAAAUGGUGGAUACAAAAUUUUAUAACGUGGUGGAUGAUGAUGAAUCCGUGAGAAUUAUCGAGCAAACUUGUCGUCAUAUAUGUAUGGGAAAGCAUGCGUACUACGUAUUGGUUUACAGUAUUUGACACUAAACUAUUUUUUGGUGUAUAUCUAUUUUUCUUAUACUAUUAUUGUAUUUUGUAUAAAACUGAAACUGUAUCUACUUUAUGUUAAAACGAAAAGAGAUAUAGAUGCAAGGAGAGUAAGGUCGGUGAAAUGAGAAAGGCCCACAAGCAGCCACAAAAAGGGCGACUCUAUGAUAGAUAAUGGAACCCAAUGCAAAAGUUCACUCCUUUCUUCCCUCAUUUUAUCACAAUUUCUUACACUAAAGUACGUUUUCGUUCGACCAAAAAAUUUACGUUUUUCUUUCUUUAAUUUCUAUCAGCCAACAAAGUUUUUGUCUUUAUAAUAUUCGCUCUCUCUUUUAAAAUAUUUCUUUUACUCAAACGUUUAUAUAAACCAUAUAAAUUUCACUCGUUUUAUAAAUUUCACUCCUUUUAUUAUAGUGCUCCAAGUCAUCAGUUGAGGAUUAACUAAGGCUUAUAGUUCAAAAAAAAAAACUAAGGCUUAUUAUAUUUUCUUAACGACCUUAUAUUUUCUUAUAAUUUAUGAAAACCUGACUUAUAAAAAUCACUCAUUUAUUAAAUAUAUUUAUUGUUAAAUAAUCACAAUAAAAGAAAAUAUGGUGGAGAUGAAAAAUGAUUCCCACCACAACAUGGGUCGUUCUCAAUUCUUUAUGUCACAAAAAAUUGUCAUAUUGUGGCGUUUGGGCUCUACUUUGAAAGAGAGUGAACAUUUAUCUCCCAUCACUUGUACAUGAUAUUCCCAUUGGAUAAAGUGUUUGUAGCUUCCAAUUUCCUAAACCUAUAAUGCAACUUUACCAACUCCAACUACACAUAUAUAGUCUUCUUUUCCUUUAAUAUAUUUUCACAUCAUGUACUUGGGUUUUUCCUUCUUUGAUUAAGUGAAUCCACCACCCUUGUUAAGAUUUUCAUUCAUAACAAUAAUAGUAUCUAUGCCAUAAGCUCAUCGUAUAACUUAUAAACUUUUAACACAUGUUUCCACCAAAAUACGAAUUUACAACAACGAUAUAGUAUAAAAUCCAAUGCAAAAAUAGUAUACAGAAUCUAUAGAUGAGUGGGAGUUUAACAGUAUGAUACACACAAGUGGAAUACAAGCAAGAUUUUAAGAAACAUGAAUUGGAAAUAAGCUGUUAUCGUCACUAUAUUUUAUAAACAUUUAUCACAUAUAUCAUGAUUAUUGGGGGGGGGGGGGGGUGAUUAUAGCGGUUUCAUAUUGUCUAUUGAUCAAUACGAUGGAAGAUGCGAGAUAAAAUUGAAUAUAUAAAGAAAUGCGGAAAGAGAUUGAUUGAAUUUUUGUUUGUUUAAGGCAGUGGCCAGCUCUUAUAGCUUUGCAACAAAUUUUUUUUGACUUAACCCCUCACACUAUUGCCUUGUUCAUCCCCACACAUUAUUAUAUAUAUAAAGAAAGAUAUAUUCUUUAUAUAAAUUAUUCAGGGUCGCAUAUUUAUUGCUUUCCAAAGAGUUCUAUUCUCAUACGGUUCAAAAUCUAGUACCACAUUAAAGCAACACUAUUUGUGUAUAGUCUACUUAGCAUGCUUAUCAAAUAAAAGGGAAGAAACGAAAGAAUGGUGAGUCCACAUUUUAUUAAUAUCAUAUAGUGAUAAUAUUUUGCAACUUAAGAAAUAAAAAUAGAGCACAGAGCAUGUUUGUGUAUUAAGACAGGAUAAAAAAAAUAGUUUGUUUGCAGUAACUAUAAGAAUAUGCUACACUGUUUUAUUGCUUAAGAACUCUCAUAGAAUGAAAAUAUAUUGGAUAACCACUUUCUACUAUUCUAUUGGAGUGACGAGGAUGUGGUCCAGUGAAGAUGAUGAUAAAAUUAGUGAGUAGAAACGACUACUUAUAAAAAUAUUAAAAGCUUAAUCCAUAGAUGGAAAUGAUUAGUUAUAUAACAGAACUAUUGUGUGAAGUGGGAAUUGAUGGGGUUUUGUUGUUGUCUUGUUGGAGGAAUGACCCAAUUUCCCAUAGUGAUUUAUAGUAGUUUAUUAAUUUUGUUAUAUUAACAGAACGUGAUAUGUGCAUCUUUUCUUGCUUUCACCUUCUUUACAUGAUCUCAUCAUGCCAAGUAGAGCGGCCUCUGCUCCAAUCAAUUGCAACCACUUGUCGUUGUGUUCUACUGUAUUCCUACUUGGGUUUCCACCACGUUGCACAGCCAACGUUUUGAAAAAUAUAAACAACUAUUCGAACUCAAACUCAUCCAACUUUUUUUUUUUUUUGAAUUACAAACUCAUGCAACUUGCUCAAUGUCUUUUGUAUAUUAUUUUGUCACAUUUUAUUUAAAAUAUUAGGUCUCUAAGAUUAAUACAUGUACAUCCAUAUAUAUAUAUUAUUUGUAUUUUUUUUGAUAAGUAUAUUAUUUGUAUUUAUAAUUUUUUGAAUAGUAACACAAUGAUAACUAUUGCAAACUAGUAUUAGGUGAUUAUGCAAAGAUCAUAUUUACGUCUUCUGAAUAGAUGAUAAUCACAUUACGUUGAGUUUUAUUUCUAUAUAUCGAAAGCAUACGGAAUUGGAUGAUUACGAAUCUCCACUAGUUAUUAUAUAUGUCGCACAAAUCUCCUAUAUAUUAAUUGAAAAUCAUUUAAAAAUUAUAAUUUUAAGUUUGUAUUAACUAAAAAGAAAUCAUGCUUAGGUGUUGCUAAAUUAGGAUGACAAUUUAGGUUACGUGGCAGCUUAAGAAUCAAUUGAAAAAAAUGUUAGUUCAAAUUCAAUUAAUAGGGAACAUUAUAUUAACCAAAAAUAUAUAUAAGAAGCAUGUAUUCUUUCCUUAAAUAAAAAUUACAUAAUUAUCUAAUAUGAUUAACAUAUAUAUGAUAAUUAAUGACUAUGAAUAAUAAAGAUUUGACAAUAAUUUUUUGCAUUCUUUUUUAUUUUUGUUUAAUUUUAUAUUAUUAAAAAAAAUAAACAAUCAUAUUUACCAUAUAAUAAAAAUAUAUUUUUCUUAUAUGUUAUAUUUUGAAUUUUUAAAAAUGACUUUAAAUUACAAAAAUGAAGAAACCUUAUAUGUUAUAUUUUAAAUUUUUCAAAACGACUUUAAAUCAUAAAAAUGAGGAAACCUUAUAUGUUAUAUUUUUUCUUAUAUGUUAUAUUUAAAAAAAUUAAAACGACUUUAAAUUACCAAAAUUGUAAAUUUUCCUUAAGCAUACGACUAAAAGCAUUAAAAUGAUAUGUAUCAAUUUGAUGGUUGAUUUGAAACCUUUCAAAACCAUAUGGAAGAUAAAUGUCAAAAUAAUUCAACUGUGGAAGCAGUACUGUUCAUUUUUUUUCAAGAAUGUGUUCGGUGAAAAAAAAUAAGGUUUUUGUGUCAGAAUUUGUUUAAUGUUCAAUCCGAUCAACCCAUGAUAUAGUUUAGUUCUGCAAUUUUUAAUAAAUAUUGAUCCGGUCAAUCGGAAAGAAAUUAUAUAAUAAUAACAAAAAAUUUGUAUAUGUAUGAAAAUGAUAAAAUAUAUU